AUUCCAGCUCCAAUAGCGUAUAUUAAAGUUGUUGCGGUUAAAAAGCUCGUAGUUGGAUUUCUGCCGAGGAUGACCGGUCCGCCCUGUGGGUGUGCAUCUGGCUCAGCCUUGGCAUCUUCCUGAAGAACGUAGCUGCACUUGACUGUGUGGUGCGGUAUUUAGGACAUUUACUUUGAGGAAAUUAGAGUGUUUCAAGCAAGCGCACGCUUUGAAUACAUUAGCAUGGAAUAAUAAGAUAGGACCUCGGUUCUAUUUUGUUGGUUUUCGGGAAUCGAGUUAAUGAUUAACAGGGACAAUUGGGGGCAUUAGUAUUCAGACGACAGAGGUGAAAUUCUUGGACCGUCUGAAGACUGACUACUGCGAAAGCAUUUGCCAAGAGUGUUUUCAUCA
rnacentral:rRNA from 1 species